rnacentral:rRNA from 1 species
UACGGAGGGUGCAAGCGUUAUCCGGAUUCACUGGGUUUAAAGGGUGCGUAGGUGGGCAGGUAAGUCAGUGGUGAAAUCUCUGGGCUUAACUCAGAAACUGCCAUUGAUACUAUCUUUCUUGAAUACCGUGGAGGUCAGCGGAAUAUGUCAUGUAGCGGAGAAAUGCUUAGAUAUGACAUAGAACACCAAUUGCGAAGGCAGCUGGCUACACGAAUAUUGACACUGAUGCACGAAAGCGUGGGGAUCAAACAGG